UGCUUUCCCAACAACUCCCAUUAAAAUUCUGGUAAUCACCAUCCAAAUUGUGCGGAAAUUUUCCAUGAUUUUGCCCAGAAGACCUGCCAGAAUUCCCCUUUUCCACAACCUGAAUAUUUCCUACAACAUUUCCAGAUUUCCUGUGCUUUCCCUAAAACCCCAAUUAGUGUUUAAGCCGUGUCCAUUUGGUUUUUGCACUAAUUCAAUAGGGUUUUGGCUCUCAUCGAAAGCACCAUUAGGGUUUUGGAAAUGCUCAUCAGAAUUAUCCAAGUGAUAUCCAACAGAGUUCUGAAACUCUGAUCUAUCAACUGCGGUGCUAAGAUUUUUUGAUAGCGCUAUGGUUUUGAUCGAAUCAGACGAUUUACUCGAAGAGCGUACCUUGGAUAGAACCGUAAGGGAAUUGNUUAAUAAACACAAGGGAGCCUCUUCUCUUGGACAUUGAUCCCUGAACCCGUGCAGCUUCAAAUGGAGAAAGAGCAAGAGGGAAGCGUCGGUCGCCAACGGUGGCUC
rnacentral:misc_RNA from 1 species